AACCUCCGCAAUGUGAGAAAUCGCGACGGGGGGAUCCCAAGUGCCAUUCUUAACGGGAUGGCUUUUCAUUAGUGUAAAGAGCUUUUGGAAUAAGAGCUGGGCAAGACCGGUGCCAGCCGCCGCGGUAACACCGGCAGCUCUAGUGGUAACAAUUUUUAUUGGGCCUAAAGCGUCCGUAGCCGGUUUAAUAAGUCUCUGGUGAAAUCCUGUAGCUUAACUGUGGGAAUUGCUGGAGAUACUAUUAGACUUGAGACCGGGAGAGGUUAGAGGUACUCCCAGGGUAGAGGUGAAAUUCUGUAAUCCUGGGAGGACCGCCUGUUGCGAAGGCGUCUAACUGGAACGGUUCUGACGGUGAGGGACGAAAGUUAGGGCGCGAACCGGAUUAGAUACCCGGGUAGUCCUAACUGUAAACGAUGCGGACUUGGUGUUGGGGUGGCUUUGAGCUGCUCCAGUGCCGAAGGAAGCUGUUAAGUCCGCCGCCUGGGAAGUACGGUCGCAAGACUGAAACUUAAAGGAAUU
rnacentral:rRNA from 1 species